rnacentral:rRNA from 1 species
CUACUCUUGACAUCCAGAGAACUUAGCAGAGAUGCUUUGGUGCCUUCGGGAACUCUGAGACAGGUGCUGCAUGGCUGUCGUCAGCUCGUGUUGUGAAAUGUUGGGUUAAGUCCCGCAACGAGCGCAACCCUUAUCCUUGUUUGCCAGCGAGUAAUGUCGGGAACUCCAGGGAGACUGCCGGUGAUAAACCGGAGGAAGGUGGGGACGACGUCAAGUCAUCAUGGCCCUUACGAGUAGGGCUACACACGUGCUACAAUGGCGCAUACAGAGGGCGGCCAACUUGCGAAAGUGAGCGAAUCCCAAAAAGUGCGUCGUAGUCCGGAUUGGAGUCUGCAACUCGACUCCAUGAAGUCGGAAUCGCUAGUAAUCGUGAAUCAGAAUGUCACGGUGAAUACGUUCCCGGGUCUUGUA